GACUGUCUUCACUGCAGCCUGAACACCUGAAGAAGAAGAAGAAGAAGAAGAAGAAGACUCACCUCUCUCUAGGAACAAACCAACAGCAGAGAUUAGUGAUGGCGAAGCUGUGGCUGAUGGCGGCUCUGCUGCUCUUAUCUGCGUCUGCUGGGAGUUCUUUGGAGAAUCCUGUGAACCCUCAGGUGGACCAGAACAAAAAUUUGGCUCCUUUUCAAAGACCAGACGAGACCCAAAUUAAACAAAUCGUCAACUACCUCUGGAACAA